ensembl:lncRNA
GAAGAUGUCCUGUUGAUUCCGGAUGUCUCUUAAAUGGUGGAUCCCAGCGUCUUCAGUUCGGUCCCUGGAAAAAGAAAAAAGAUCAUUCCCUCCAGUCCCCGUUGACCUCAUUCUUGUCAGGAUGAGUGAGGAAAAACAGUUACGGGCAAGGCAGUACCUCCGUUCAUGGAGAUCUGCUAAACAAGUGAUGAAUAGGAUAGCUGAAAGCACUGCCAGUGUUUGUGUCACAGAACACCAUGUGGCUGAUGCCAGCUUGUCCAGCAGUCCAUCCGGUGUUCUUGCGCCUAUUGGUGACAUGGACAACUCCUUGGACUUGGAUGAGUCAUUUGAGGAUCGUUCUGCUUUGGAGGAUGACCUCGAUGACUGGAUGGAUGUUGAUCCCUCUGAUGAUGAGGAGGAAGUGGUUUUUGGGGAUGACCUGGAGGCGUCCGACCAGCGUCCGGCAUCGCUCGCAUCUGACCUCGCUAGCUGGGCUUGCCAGUUUCAGGUGAAACACAAUGCUGUUGAGGACCUUUUGAAAGUUUUGAGAGGUCACGGACACACUGACCUGCCUUCCACCACCAGGACACUCCUGAAGACACCAAGGGAGGUCAGGAUCACAUCAAAGUCUGGUAUGGAGUAUGUCCAUUUUCCUAUCAAGGACAAAUUGCAACAGACUCUAUUGAGAUACCCAGCAGACCAGGUCCCCGACUGUGUUGACCUUUCCUUCAACGUAGAUGGGCUACCUCUGUUUAAGAGCUCAGGAAGAACAAUGUGGCCCAUCCUUUGUGCUGUCCAUUUAAAACCAGUGUCAGUCUUCCCUAUCACCCUGACUUGUGGAGGUUCGAAGCCACAGAAUCUGGAAUUCCUGGAAGACAUGGUGAUGGAUGUCAACAACCUCCUGUCCAGUGGCCUGCAACAUAGGAACAAAACAAUAAAAUUCAACAUUCUAUGUUUUGUGUGCGAUGCUCCUGCAAAGGCCUUUGUGAAGAAUGUUAAACUUUGCACAGGCUAUUAUGGGUGUGACCGGUGUGUGCAGAGGGGUGAGUGGUAUGAGAAGGUUACUUACCAAGACACAG